GCCCUCUUGGCUCAGUCUGGCCUAGAGCGCCCGGUUGUCAGCCGGGAGAACGCCGGUUCAAAUCCGGUAGGGGGCG
rnacentral:tRNA from 1 species